rnacentral:lncRNA from 1 species
AUUAAAAUUAAAAUUUUAUUUGUGUGUGUGUGUGUGUGUGCAUGCAUGUGUGUGCGUGUGCAUAUGCACAUGAAUACAGGUGCCUACAGAAGCCAGAAGAGGCUCUGAGAGCCCUUGAACCUAGAGUUGCAGGCCAUUGUGAGCCACUCAGCCUGGUUUCCAGGAACCAAACUCUAGGCCCCUGGAAGAGCAACAAGCAUUCUUAACCACUGAGCUCACCGACCACCACCACCACCACACCCCCCACCAUCCUCUCUCUCUCUCUCUCUCUCUCCCUCUCUCUCUCUCUCUCUCUCUCUUCCUUUGAGACAGGGACUCCGUAGUGGCCUUGAACUCACAGGACUCCUCAGACUUAGAGCACUGCAGGCAAGAACCACCACACCUAGAUUUUGGGGACUCAGGAUAGCAUUUUCAUACUGGUCAUGUUGAGCAGCCUUUCCCUUCCCUGCCCUAUCUCCACCCAUCUCCAUAUGUGCCGUUGGAAUAACAUCAUCUCCGAUGUGCUCUUCUGAAUCUUUUGUCUCCUACUUGUAACCUUGGGCUUUUCUACCCUCACCCAGUUCCCGGAUAAUGACUUGGAGACUUGUGUUUUAUAAAUAAAUGCCUAGGCCAUAGACUUUGGCUUGUUUCCCAACUAGCUUGGAACUUAUAUUAAGUUUAUACUAUUCUAUGUCUGCCACAUGGCUGGUAACCUCAGUUUCAUAUGUCCAACUUCCAGAAGAGGACAUCAGAUCUUAUUAUAGACAGCUAUGAGCUAUCAUGUAGUUUCUGGGAAUUGAACUCAGGACCUCUAGAAGAGCAGCCAGUGAUCUUAACCUCUGAGCCAUUUCUCUAGUCCUGAUAUAUAUUUUUUUCAUGUUUGCCUUUUGACUCCCAGGCUAGCAUCUAACUCCGUGUAUCACCUGUACCUUAGUUACUUUUCUGUUGCUGUGAAGAGGCACCAUGACCAAGGCAGCUUAGAAAGGAAAGCAUUUAACUGGGGGCUUGCAUAUAGUUACAGAGGAUGAAUCCACGGUCAUCGUGGUGGGGAGCAUGGCAGCUGACAUGGAGGCAUGGUGCUGGAGAGCAGUAGCUGAGCGCUUACACGCUGGGGCAACAACAGAGAGAGAGAGAGAGAGAGAGACAGAGACAGAGACAGAGACAGAGACAGAGACCUUUAUAUUUCUUUGCAAAGCUUUUGACCUUAGCUUGUUCCCCAACUAGCUCGUAACUUAUAUUAACCUGGUUAUGCUAUUCUAUGUCUGUCACAUGGCUAAUACCUCUCCUCAGUUUCAUACAUCCAACUUCUGAGUCUGGGUGGUGAAUUCCUGGGCUCUCUCUCUGGCUCUCUCUCUCUCUCUCUCUCUCUCUCUCUCUCUCUCUCUCUCUCUCUCCCCAGAGUUCCUCUCUCUCUGCCAGGUGUCCCAUCUUACUAUCCUGCCUUUUGCUAUAGGCCAUGGCUUUUUAUUUGAACCAAUCAGGAGGUGCCUUAGGUAGGUAAAGAAGGAUAAACACACACCUUCACACAGUGUACAAAAGUAUCAUUCCAACACUUACUGAUGAGCCAUCUCUCCAGCCUCCGUUUGAUUUCUUGAGACAAAGCAUCCUAUAUCCCAGACUUGAGACAAAGUAUCCUAUAUCCUAGACUUGAGACAAAGUAUCCUAUAUCCCAGACUUGAGACAAAGUAUCCUAUAUCCCAGACUGGCCUCAUACUUGCUCUGUAAUCAAGGAAGACCUUGAACUCUUUAGAUCUUUUUGCCUUCAACCCCAGCAUUCUGGAGGCAGGGGCAGGAGGAUCAUCACAAAUUAUAAAGUGUAGCCUGGUUUACUUAGUGAAUAUCAGGCCAGCCUGGUCAACAUAUCCAAUGAGUCAUAUUAGCGGCAUACAAUUUACUUUUAUUUUUUCAUUUUUAUAGUUUUUGGUUAGACAGUAUCUCCAAGUACAAAGGCUGGCCUUGAACUUCUAACACUUUUGCCUCUGUGUAAUCAGUGCUGGAAUUAUAGGUGUAUAUGGCUAUGUUCUAUUUCAAGCUCACAAUUUAUCAUUAAUGUAUUUUAUCAUUAAUUUAUUUAGUUUUGAGACAGGGUCUCUCUACGCAGCCCUGGCUAGUCUGAAACUUGCUUGCUAUGUAUACCAGGCUGGCCUCAAGCUCAAAGGAUGCCCAUCUCUGCUUCUGGAGUGCUUAAAGUCCAGGGACUUAAAGGGAUUAACGUCCUCUGUCACCCCCCUUGGCUAUUCCUAUUAUUGUUGACAUGGAGUCUCCGUAUGUAGGUCCGGCUGGCUUUGAACUGAACCUGGAAAUCCUCUUGCCUCCUAUUGAACAUUUGGUCACUUGGUUUGUUUCUGUGGUCCACCCCUGUAAUCACAGCACAUGGGAAGUUGAGGCAGCAGGAUGAGGACACCAAGGGAGUCCUCCACAAUAAACCUAGUUUUAGGCAUUUCUCGAGUAUAUGGGAACAUGUCUGAAAACAAAAACAAAACAAAACAAACUAAAGCCAAAACAACAACAUUGCCAGCAGGGUGAGUGUUGUGGGGUGGGGCAGAUUGCUGCCUGUCUGGUGGCCCGAGGCAGGGAGGUCACAGAAGGGCUGGGCUGGCUUAUGAAUAAGAAGGAAAGGGGCCCCUGUUUGUUUCUAUUGCCAUAUAACAUUUCACUGAAUGAACAUACCUUAUCUUUUCACUUUAUGCUUCACGUGGGAGUUUUUUAAAAAAUACACCAGCCAGAGUUUAUUGUAGGUUCCUCUGCUUUCCCCAGGGACAGAAGACAGGCUCGUGCCCAAUGAACAUAAUCAACAGCUAACUCAAAUGUACCCCUAGCUCAGAGCUAUUAGCUGAAGCCGCACUCCUCAUCGCCAAAGAAUCCCCAUCAGGACCAGCAGCAGCCUGUGGGAAGGAUCCAAAAUAUCUGAUGCCUAGACCCAUUCCAGACUGUGGAUUAUCAACCCAGCCUGAUAACCCAGCCUGUGGGUAGCCACAUUCUCCCAUAGGUGGCGCUGUUUCCCUGUUUUCUUUGUAAUGACGUAGAGCAAACCUAAGACUUCAUCUGUGUUGGGGAAUGAAGGCUUUGCCACCGACCUCCAUUGCUAGACCUGUUUUCCUUUGUAUGGUUAUUUUUACAUCUUAUUCUCUGAUUUUAGUUUAUGUUCCCUGAAGUAGAAAACCUAAUUUCUUAAUGUCUGUGUUUUUUUCCACGAGGAUAUAAAACCAGCAGAAGAUGCUCAGGGUACCACCCAGCUUAUGCCCUGCAUCUCCCGUUCACAGUCUUUGCCCUACAGGAAGUCCCAGGUCACCUGCGAUGAAGGUGUGGACGAUUCUCCACUGCAGAGAAUGGCAAGAUCUCACUCUGGUAUUGGUUUUGAGGGAAGGUUUAAAAUGCACGGUGAGAUAGAAGGACAGAGUAUGGAGACACAAAUCUACGAAGCAAUUAUGCUAUGGAUUGGUGGUGACGAAAGUAAGAAAUGUGAGGGAAAAACAUUGAACUAUUUAAUCUACCACUGCAGACUCUUGAGUAGGAGAAUGGGCGACUUUCUGGAAACCUUUUAUUAUUAUUAUUUUUAGAUUAUUUUAUUUUAUGUGUUGUGAGUGGGGUCCGAAGAGGGUGCCAGAUAUCCUAAAACUGGAGUUAAUGGAUGUUUGUGAGCCAUCAUGUGGCUUACAAUCACCUGAAUUACAGCAAGAGGGGAUCAAAGCCUUUGGCCUCCAGAGACAUUGGUACUUAUAUGCAGGAGCUUGCACUCAUGCGCGCGCGCGCGCACCACACACACACACACACACACACACACACACACACACACACACUGAAAAAAAAUAUUGUUUAAAAGUGAAGUUAGACUGAGUCCACGCCCCCUAUAUCUUGGGUCUCUUCCUCUGCCUCCUUUUUUGUAAAUUCUUCUGUGGGCUUGGUGGUGUGCCCCUGGUGAGAUGGGAAGACAAUGGGACCCUUGGAGCUUGCUGGCCAAGUACCCUAACUUACUCAGUGAAGUUCUUAGCCAAUGGGAGACGGUCUCAGAAAAAAAAAAGUCUUAGAAAUAUCCCCAGGUUGUCUCAUGAUCUUCAUUCUUACCACACAGAAAUACACACAUUUACACACAUAAAAUAAAUUAAAAUAUAAUAUAAAUUUAAACUUCACUUUUGGGUGAUCUUUAUUAUCUAUUGUGGGGGUGGAGCGCCCACAUACCAUUGCAUGUGAGUGAAAGUUAGGAGACAGUUUUUGAGCAUUCUCUCCUUUCACUGUGUGGGUCCAGCACCUCCAACUAUGUUCUCAGGAUUACAGUGGGGUGGGGGGACGCCUUUAUGACUGAGCCCAAUAAACUUCACUUUUAGAUGUGAAGUUGCUUAGUGAUGUAGGCUGGGUUGCCCUGACAGUCCCUGAAGUUGACGUGCAGAACUAAUUUAUAAUCCCAUCUGUGAGUUGGGUCUUCACAUUCCUGCAGCGCCCCCAGCUCCCGAUUAUGGUUAAGUGUAAUUACCAAGCAUGAACACUAGGGGGCAGCUCAUCACCACGAGUGUUUCCGAAGACCUACCUGGACUUGACAGGUAUGGCGGUAGUAGCUGCAUCCUGGCCCUUGGCUGGCAGGAGCUCAGAAAUUCCAAGCUACCUAAGGAGACCCUGUCUCAGGCAAAACAAGAACAACAUAUCGAAGGAGGCAGGGUAACACAACCUAUGGUCCCAGCACUCUUGAGAAGGAGGAAGAGGAGGAGGAGGAGGUAGAGGUGGAAGAGGAAGAAGAACCAAGGCCAGCCUGGGCUGUGUAGCAAACUUAAGGAGAGCCUUGGCUACAUGAUAAGAUGGUCUAAGAAAGCAAAACAACAACAAAAGUCAAGACAAAAAACCUGGAGCCAUUCUACAUCCUACUUCCACAGAUAUGGGGACAUUUUACUUGAUUUUUCUGAAGCAAAACAUGAUGGUAAAGAUGGUAAGUUUCAGAUGAGGCACAGGCAUCAGAGGCCCAAGUGCCUACCAGGUUAGGUCCUCCUCAAUUUUUUGUUGUUGAGACAGGGUUUCCCUGUGUGGCCCUGGCUGUCCUGGAACUUGCUCUGUAGACCAGGCUGGUCUUGAACUCUCAGAGAUCCUGCUGUCUCUGCCUCCUUAGUGCUGGGAUCAAAGGCGUGCUCCACCACAUCCUCCUCCUCCUCGCUUUUGAGCAUUUUUUUUCUCAUAUGCUAAGCUGGAGGAAGUUCGACAUUAGUUACACAUGGCAGCCCUCCUAUCUUGUUAGACAUCAUUAAUCGAGUGUGGCCCAGGAGAGGUGUUUACAAGUGAACCAGACACUUGCAAGUCUUUAAAAAAAAAGUGUGUGUACUUUAGUUCCUUAGGUCUAUGAAAAUAGGACUGGAGGGUGGAGGCAUUUAGUCUAGGCUCAGCCAGGUGUGGCUGAUUCACUAUAAAAGGGGCUGCCUGGCCCCUUCUCUCUCUUGCCUUCUUGCUCUAGUUCUGUCAUCUUGCUCCUUACCCCUCUCUUCCCAUUCUCCUCCCUCCUCCCUCCACAUGCCUCCACAGCCUCCCCCACCCCUCUCUGCCUUUCUCUGUCUAUAUUCCCUCAACUCCCCUCCCCAUGCCUUGAAUAACCUCUAUUCUAUACUAUACCGUUGUGUGGCUGGUCCCUCAGGGGGAAGGGAUACCUCGGCAUGAACCUGUAGAGGCACCCCUUCCACCACACCAUACCUCCCCGCCACCAAACAUAUUCCUUCCCCUCCCUCCCUUAUCUCCUUAUAAAACACAAUCGUGGGAAGCUGAGAAGGA